rnacentral:rRNA from 1 species
UACGUAGGGUGCAAGCGUUGUCCGGAAUUAUUGGGCGUAAAGAGCUCGUAGGCGGUCUGUUGCGUCGGCUGUGAAAACCCGGGGCUCAACCCCGGGCCUGCAGCCGAUACGGGCAGACUAGAGUUCGGCAGGGGAGACUGGAAUUCCUGGUGUAGCGGUGAAAUGCGCAGAUAUCAGGAGGAACACCGGUGGCGAAGGCGGGUCUCUGGGCCGAUACUGACGCUGAGGAGCGAAAGCGUGGGUAGCAAACAGG